GAUGAACGCUGGCGGCGUGCUUAACACAUGCAAGUCGAACGGAAAGGCUCCUGCUUGCAGGGGUACUCGAGUGGCGAACGGGUGAGUAACACGUGGGUGAUCUGCCCUGCACUUCGGGAUAAGCCUGGGAAACUGGGUCUAAUACCGGAUAGGACCACAUUUUGGAUGGUGUGGUGGAAAGUUUUUCGGUGUGGGAUGAGCUCGCGGCCUAUCAGCUUGUUGGUGGGGUAAUGGCCUACCAAGGCGUCGACGGGUAGCCGGCCUGAGAGGGUGUACGGCCACAUUGGGGCUGAGAUACGGCCCAGACUCCUACGGGAGGCAGCAGUGGGGAAUAUUGCACAAUGGGCGCAAGCCUGAUGCAGCGACGCCGCGUGGGGGAUGACGGCCUUCGGGUUGUAAACUCCUUUCGCUAGGGACGAAGCGUUUUUGUGACGGUACCUGGAGAAGAAGCACCGGCUAACUACGUG
rnacentral:rRNA from 1 species